rnacentral:rRNA from 1 species
CACGUAGGCACCAAGCGUUGUCCGGAUUUAUUGGGCGUAAAGAGCUCGUAGGCGGUUCAGUAAGUCAGGUGUGAAAUCUUUGGGCUUAACCCAAAGCGUGCACUUGAUACUGCUGUGACUUGAGUUCGGUAGGGGAGUGGGGAAUUCCUAGUGUAGCGGUGAAAUGCGCAGAUAUUAGGAGGAACACCGGUGGCGAAGGCGCCACUCUGGGCCGAAACUGACGCUGAGGAGCGAAAGCAUGGGGAGCGAACAGG